rnacentral:rRNA from 1 species
AGCGAACGCUGGCGGCAGGCCUAACACAUGCAAGUCGAACGAACUCUUCGGAGUUAGUGGCGGACGGGUGAGUAACACGUGGGAACGUGCCUUUAGGUUCGGAAUAACUCAGGGAAACUUGUGCUAAUACCGAAUGUGCCCUUCGGGGGAAAGAUUUAUCGCCUUUAGAGCGGCCCGCGUCUGAUUAGCUAGUUGGUGAGGUAAAGGCUCACCAAGGCUACGAUCAGUAGCUGGUCUGAGAGGAUGACCAGCCACAUUGGGACUGAGACACGGCCCAAACUCCUACGGGAGGCAGCAGUGGGGAAUCUUGCGCAAUGGGCGAAAGCCUGACGCAGCCAUGCCGCGUGGAUGAUGAAGGUCUUAGGAUUGUAAAAUCCUUUCACCGGUGAAGAUAAUGACUGUAGCCGGAGAAGAAGCCCCGGCUAACUUCGUGCCAGCAGCCGCGGUAAGAGUCACGUCG